rnacentral:lncRNA from 1 species
AGAGACGGGAUUUCACCGUGGUCUUGAUCUCCUGACCUUGUGAUCUGCCCACCUCGGUCUCCCAAAGUGGUGGGAUUACAGGUGUGAGCCAUCGCGCCCGGCCAGCUCCUGUAUUUUGCAGCUGAGGAGGGGAUUAAGUGAUUGAGAUGUGGGAAGUGCUUAGAAUGGAGCCCAGCAGAGAUCAGUGGGCAGCGGACAUCGGUGCUCUCAUGGACCCAGUGGGCUCAGCACUGCGCUCUCUGCACUGCAGUCAUGGGUGAGCCCAUGAUGGCUUCCACUUGACAGGGGAGCAGGCAAAGCAAGCACGCGAAGGUGCCGGGUGCAUGGAGUGGAACCCUGCUGUGGGAGGAGGAUGGGGGCUGCUUUACAAGAGAAAGGACUUUUCUUUUCUUUUGUUUUUUGAGACAGGGUCUCA